AAUUGGAGGGCAAGUCUGGUGCCAGCAGCCGCGGUAAUUCCAGCUCCAAUAGCGUAUAUUAAAGUUGUUGCAGUUAAAAAGCUCGUAGUUGAAUUUCGGGGUCAGCAGGUCGGUCGUGCCUACGGUAUGCACUGGCCUUGCUGAUUCCUCCCUCUUGAUGAGCCGUAAUGUCAUUAAUUUGGUGUUGCGGGGAAUCAGGACUGUUACUUUGAAAAAAUUAGAGUGUUUAAAGCAGGCAUGCGCUUGAAUACAUUAGCAUGGAAUAAUGAAAUAGGACGUUUGAUCCUAUUUUGUUGGUUUCUAGGAUUGACGUAAUGAUUAAUAGGGAUAGUUGGGGGCAUUAGUAUUCAAUUGUCAGAGGUGAAAUUCUUGGAUUUAUUGAAGACUAACUACUGCGAAAGCAUUUGCCAAGGAUGUUUUCAUUAAUCAAGAACGAAAGUUAGGGGAUCGAAGACGAUCAGAUACCGUCGUAGUCUUAACCAUAAACUAUGCCGACUAGGGAUCGGAUGAUGUUAAUUUUUUAAUGACUCGUUUGGCACCUUACGGGAAACCAAAGUGU
rnacentral:rRNA from 1 species